GGCUGGAGCUCAGUGGCAGAGCAUCUGCUUUGUAUGCAGAAGGUCCCUGGUUCAAUCCCUGACAUCGCCA